UACGGAGGGUGCAAGCGUUAUCCGGAUUCACUGGGUUUAAAGGGUGCGUAGGAGGGCAGGUAAGUCAGUGGUGAAAUCUCCGAGCUUAACUUGGAAACUGCCGUUGAUACUAUCUGUCUUGAAUAUUGUGGAGGUGAGCGGAAUAUGUCAUGUAGCGGUGAAAUGCUUAGAUAUGACAUAGAACACCAAUUGCGAAGGCAGCUCGCUACACAUAUAUUGACUCUGAGACCCGAAAGCGUGGGGAUCAAACAGG
rnacentral:rRNA from 1 species